AGAGUUUGAUCCUGGCUCAGAUUGAACGCUGGCGGCAUGCCUUACACAUGCAAGUCGAACGGCAGCGCGGACUUCGGUCUGGCGGCGAGUGGCGAACGGGUGAGUAAUACAUCGGAACGUACCCUGUUGUGGGGGAUAACUAGUCGAAAGAUUAGCUAAUACCGCAUACGACCUGAGGGUGAAAGCGGGGGACCGAAAGGCCUCGCGCAGCAGGAGCGGCCGAUGUCUGAUUAGCUAGUUGGUGGGGUAAAGGCCCACCAAGGCGACGAUCAGUAGCUGGUCUGAGAGGACGAUCAGCCACACUGGGACUGAGACACGGCCCAGACUCCUACGGGAGGCAGCAGUGGGGAAUUUUGGACAAUGGGGGCAACCCUGAUCCAGCAAUGCCGCGUGUGUGAAGAAGGCCUUCGGGUUGUAAAGCACUUUUGUCCGGAAAGAAAUUGCUCUGGCUAAUACCUGGGGUAGAUGACGGUACCGGAAGAAUAAGCACCGGCUAACUACGUGCCAGCAGCCGCGGUAAUACGUAGGGUGCGAGCGUUAAUCGGAAUUACUGGGCGUAAAGCGUGCGCAGGCGGUUUUGUAAGACAGGCGUGAAAUCCCCGGGCUCAACCUGGGAAUUGCGCUUGUGACUGCAAGGCUAGAGUGCGUCAGAGGGGGGUAGAAUUCCACGUGUAGCAGUGAAAUGCGUAGAGAUGUGGAGGAAUACCGAUGGCGAAGGCAGCCCCCUGGGACGUGACUGACGCUCAU
rnacentral:rRNA from 1 species